AGAGCACUUGGAAUCUGUUGAGCACCUUGAGCACACAACGCCCCCUUCAAAUCCAAAUAUGUCCACUGACAAGGAAAUGAGUAUUGAAGCUCAUUCCUUCAUCACAAUUCCUCUUGAGACAUUUCAUGAGCCCCAAGCUUCAGUUCUUCAAUAUCUCCAAAAGCCAUCUUUUGCUAAAAGCCUCAAGGAUUGAUGCACACAAAAUAAAAAAUCUAGGAACCAUCGUCCUACGAAGAUCCUUUGAAGCAAGCAAGUUGGCUACCUAAGAAGGCGACACAUUCUUCCAGAGGGGUAUCAAAUGUUAAAGAAGAAAGGGUGGAAGGGAUUGAUUGGACAUCCACGUGAUCGGAGAAGGCGCUUUUGUGACAGGUGUGCUCGUGUUUAAGUUUGGGGGACGUCCUGGCCUUUUUCACACUUUGAUGUUUCCUUACUCCUGCAGGAAUACCAAGUUGGAGAGGGUUGAGUUCUCUUCUAAAGACGUCAAAGCAGGACAAAAGGAUAACGAGAGCGCCUAUUACGAGAGGCGGUACAAGAUUGAGUCAUCCAUCUUUUGCAAAUGACAAUUUGCUCUAUAAAGUGAAAAUUAUUGA